rnacentral:rRNA from 1 species
GACGAACGCUGGCGGCGUGCCUAAUACAUGCAAGUUGAGCGCUGAAGGUUGGUACUUGUACCAACUGGAUGAGCAGCGCACGGGUGAGUAACGCGUGGGGAAUCUGCCUUUGAGCGGGGGACAACAUUUGGAAACGAAUGCUAAUACCGCAUAAAAACUUUAAACACAAGUUUUAAGUUUGAAAGAUGCAAUUGCAUCACUCAAAGAUGAUCCCGCGUUGUAUUAGCUAGUUGGUGAGGUAAAGGCUCACCAAGGCGAUGAUACAUAGCCGACCUGAGAGGGUGAUCGGCCACAUUGGGACUGAGACACGGCCCAAACUCCUACGGGAGGCAGCAGUAGGGAAUCUUCGGCAAUGGACGAAAGUCUGACCGAGCAACGCCGCGUGAGUGAAGAAGGGUGUCGGAUCGUAAAACUCUGUUGGUAGAGAAGAACGUUGGUGAGAGUGGAAAGCUCAUCAAGUGACGGUAACUACACAGAAAGGGACGGCUAACUACGUG